rnacentral:rRNA from 1 species
AAUCCAUAGGUUAAUGAGGCGAACCGGGGGAACUGAAACAUCUAAGUACCCCGAGGAAAAGAAAUCAACCGAGAUUCCCCCAGUAGCGGCGAGCGAACGGGGAGGAGCCCAGAGCCUGAAUCAGCAUGUGUGUUAGUGGAAGCGUCUGGAAAGGCGCGCGAUACAGGGUGACAGCCCCGUACACAAAAGCGCAUGUGCUGUGAGCUCGAUGAGUAGGGCGGGACACGUGGUAUCCUGUCUGAAUAUGGGGGGACCAUCCUCCAAGGCUAAAUACUCCUGACUGACCGAUAGUGAACCAGUACCGUGAGGGAAAGGCGAAAAGAACCCCGGCGAGGGGAGUGAAAAAGAACCUGAAACCGUGUACGUACAAGCAGUGGGAGCACAGGUUUACCUGUGUGACUGCGUACCUUUUGUAUAAUGGGUCAGCGACUUAUAUUCUGUAGCAAGGUUAACCGAAUAGGGGAGCCGGAGGGAAACCGAGUCUUAAUUGGGCGUUAAGUUGCAGGGUAUAGACCCGAAACCCGGUGAUCUAGCCAUGGGCAGGUUGAAGGUUGGGUAACACUAACUGGAGGACCGAACCGACUAAUGUUGAAAAAUUAGCGGAUGACCUGUGGCUGGGGGUGAAAGGCCAAUCAAACCGGGAGAUAGCUGGUUCUCCCCGAAAGCUAUUUAGGUAGCGCCUCGUGAAUUCAUCUCCGGGGGUAGAGCACUGUUUCGGCUAGGGGGCCAUCCCGGCUUACCAACCCGAUGCAAACUGCGAAUACCGGAGAAUGUUAUCACGGGAGACACACGGCGGGUGCUAACGUCCGUCGUGAAGAGGGAAACAACCCAGACCGCCAGCUAAGGUCCCAAAGUCAUGGUUAAGUGGGAAACGAUGUGGGAAGGCCCAGACAGCCAGGAUGUUGGCUUAGAAGCAGCCAUCAUUUAAAGAAAGCGUAAUAGCUCACUGGUCGAGUCGGCCUGCGCGGAAGAUGUAACGGGGCUAAACCAUGCACCGAAGCUGCGGCAGCGAACGUAUCACCCAAGACAACUUUACGGAGUUGACGAUUGACGGAGCGAAGCGACGUCAAAGCGUUCAUUAAAGUCGAGUUGGCUUAGGGAUACGUUCGUUGGGUAGGGGAGCGUUCUGUAAGCCUGUGAAGGUGUGUCGUGAGGCAUGCUGGAGGUAUCAGAAGUGCGAAUGCUGACAUAAGUAACGAUAAAGCGGGUGAAAAGCCCGCUCGCCGGAAGACCAAGGGUUCCUGUCCAACGUUAAUCGGGGCAGGGUGAGUCGACCCCUAAGGCGAGGCCGAAAGGCGUAGUCGAUGGGAAACGGGUUAAUAUUCCCGUACUUGGUGUUACUGCGAAGGGGGGACGGAGAAGGCUAUGUUGGCCGGGCGACGGUUGUCCCGGUUUAAGCGUGUAGGUGUGUGUUCCAGGUAAAUCCGGUUCACUUUAACACUGAGGCGUGACGACGAGGCACUACGGUGCUGAAGCAACAAAUGCCCUGCUUCCAGGAAAAGCCUCUAAGCAUCAGGUAACAUCAAAUCGUACCCCAAACCGACACAGGUGGUCAGGUAGAGAAUACCAAGGCGCUUGAGAGAACUCGGGUGAAGGAACUAGGCAAAAUGGUGCCGUAACUUCGGGAGAAGGCACGCUGACACGUAGGUGAAGUGAUUUACUCAUGGAGCUGAAGUCAGUCGAAGAUACCAGCUGGCUGCAACUGUUUAUUAAAAACACAGCACUGUGCAAACACGAAAGUGGACGUAUACGGUGUGACGCCUGCCCGGUGCCGGAAGGUUAAUUGAUGGGGUCAGCGCAAGCGAAGCUCCUGAUCGAAGCCCCGGUAAACGGCGGCCGUAACUAUAACGGUCCUAAGGUAGCGAAAUUCCUUGUCGGGUAAGUUCCGACCUGCACGAAUGGCGUAAUGAUGGCCAGGCUGUCUCCACCCGAGACUCAGUGAAAUUGAACUCGCUGUGAAGAUGCAGUGUACCCGCGGCAAGACGGAAAGACCCCGUGAACCUUUACUAUAGCUUGACACUGAACAUUGAGCCUUGAUGUGUAGGAUAGGUGGGAGGCUUUGAAGUGUGGACGCCAGUCUGCAUGGAGCCGACCUUGAAAUACCACCCUUUAAUGUUUGAUGUUCUAACGUGGACCCGUAAUCCGGGUUGCGGACAGUGUCUGGUGGGUAGUUUGACUGGGGCGGUCUCCUCCUAAAGAGUAACGGAGGAGCACGAAGGUUGGCUAAUCCUGGUCGGACAUCAGGAGGUUAGUGCAAUGGCAUAAGCCAGCUUGACUGCGAGCGUGACGGCGCGAGCAGGUGCGAAAGCAGGUCAUAGUGAUCCGGUGGUUCUGAAUGGAAGGGCCAUCGCUCAACGGAUAAAAGGUACUCCGGGGAUAACAGGCUGAUACCGCCCAAGAGUUCAUAUCGACGGCGGUGUUUGGCACCUCGAUGUCGGCUCAUCACAUCCUGGGGCUGAAGUAGGUCCCAAGGGUAUGGCUGUUCGCCAUUUAAAGUGGUACGCGAGCUGGGUUUAGAACGUCGUGAGACAGUUCGGUCCCUAUCUGCCGUGGGCGCUGGAGAACUGAGGGGGGCUGCUCCUAGUACGAGAGGACCGGAGUGGACGCAUCACUGGUGUUCGGGUUGUCAUGCCAAUGGCACUGCCCGGUAGCUAAAUGCGGAAGAGAUAAGUGCUGAAAGCAUCUAAGCACGAAACUUGCCCCGAGAUGAGUUCUCCCUGAGACUUAGAGUCUCCUGAAGGAACGUUGAAGACGACGACGUUGA